rnacentral:snRNA from 1 species
GUGACGGUGAUCUGGCCGCAAUAUCUGUCAAGUCCUUAAUCACCAGGGUUGAUUCAGCUGAUCUGGCUGGCUGGGUGGGUGUCUUCUUUCUCCCUCACCACUCUGUAUGUCUCCCUCCCAAAGCUACAAGCUUGGUAAGAGAGGACAAUCUUUUUUGACAAAGGAGGACCAUUCUCUCUUCAAGGGUAUAUGAGUACCCCUCUUAGAACCUCCAAACAAGCUCUUGAGAUCCAUUUGUAGAAGAAAAUAGUGUCGGUAAGCCUCUAAGACUCCAGACGCACCCAAAUGAGGCAUCGUAUAUGUCAGUCUGCUUUUCUUA